ACGGGAGGCAGCAGUGGGGAAUAUUGCACAAUGGGCGCAAGCCUGAUGCAGCCAUGCCGCGUGUAUGAAGAAGGCCUUCGGGUUGUAAAGUACUUUCAGCAGUGAGGAAGGGGGUAUCGUUAAUAGCGGUAUCUUUUGACGUUAGCUGCAGAAGAAGCACCGGCUAACUCCGUGCCAGCAGCCGCGGUAAUACGGAGGGUGCGAGCGUUAAUCGGAAUUACUGGGCGUAAAGCGCAUGCAGGUGG
rnacentral:rRNA from 1 species